rnacentral:rRNA from 1 species
GGGCCCGCACAAGCGGUGGAGCAUGUGGUUUAAUUCGAUGAUACGCGAGGAACCUUACCAGGGCUUAAAUGUAGAACGACCGAUUUGGAAACAAGUCUUCUCUUUGAGCGGUCUACAAGGUGCUGCAUGGUUGUCGUCAGCUCGUGCCGUGAGGUGUCGGGUUAAGUCCCUUAACGAGCGCAACCCCUAUCUCUAGUUGCCAGCGGAUAAUGCCGGGGACUCUAGAGAAACUGCCCGUGCAAACGGUGAGGAAGGUGGGGAUGACGUCAAAUCAUCACGGCCCUUACGUCCUGGGCUACACACGUGCUACAAUGGUCGGUACAGAGGGCAGCUACCACGUGAGUGGGAGCGGA